rnacentral:rRNA from 1 species
GACGAACGCUGGCGGCGUGCCUAAUACAUGCAAGUAGAACGCUGAAGAGAGGAGCUUACUCUUCUUGGAUGAGUUGCGAACGGGUGAGUAACGCGUAGGUAACCUGCCUUGUAGCGGGGGAUAACUAUUGGAAACGAUAGCUAAUAGCGCAUAACAAUGGAUGACACAUGUCAUUUAUUUGAAAGGGGCAAUUGCUCAACUACAAGAUGGGCCUGCGUUGUAUUAGCUAGUAGGUGAGGUAAUGGCUCACCUAGGCGACGAUACAUAGCCGACCUGAGAGGGUGAUCGGCCACACUGGGACUGAGACACGGCCCAGACUCCUACGGGAGGCAGCAGUAGGGAAUCUUCGGCAAUGGGGGCAACCCUGACCGAGCAACGCCGCGUGAGUGAAGAAGGUUUUCGGAUCGUAAAGCUCUGUUGUAAGUCAAGAACGGGUGUGAGAGUGGAAAGUUCACACUGUGACGGUAGCUUACCAGAAAGGGACGGCUAACUACGUG